rnacentral:rRNA from 1 species
GAUAAACGCUGGCGGCGCACAUAAGACAUGCAAGUUGAACGGACUUAAUCGAAAUAUUUAUAUUUUGAAGCGGUUAGUGGCGGACUGGUGAGUAACGCGUAAGGAACCUGCCUAUUAGAGGGGAAUAACAGUGAGAAAUCAUUGCUAAUACCGCAUAUGCCAUAGAUAUCACAUGAUAACAGUGGGAAAGGAGCAAUCCGCUAAUAGAUGGCCUUGGGUCUGAUUAGAUAGUUGGUGGGGUAACGGCCUACCAAGUCGACGAUCAGUAGCCGGACUGAGAGGUUGAACGGCCACAUUGGGACUGAGAUACGGCCCAGACUCCUACGGGAGGCAGCAGUCGGGAAUAUUGCGCAAUGGAGGAAACUCUGACGCAGUGACGCCGCGUAUAGGAAGAAGGUUUUCGGAUUGUAAACUAUUGUCGUUAGGGAAGAGAAAGGACAGUACCUAAGGAGGAAGCUCCGGCUAACUACGUG